GCUCUGUGUGGCAGUGUGGUGAAGCCACACCUAUCUGUCAGCAGCGUUAGUGGGGAAAAGCGUGCCAACGUGUGGGCAUUCUAGGAGAACCCACAAAAAACACCUGGAAACAGAGAGACUUUGAAUCAGUGGGUAGGUACCCAUGGCAGUGUGGGGCCGCCCUCUCAUGCAGGGAAUCUUCGGGUUCCAUUUCCAGGGACCAAUGCAAACCCUUACUUUCCUCUAAAGAGUAAGUAGGAGGAAGCAAAAUCAGCUUGCUCGGGAGACAGGAGCUGACUUCAGAAUAUUAUUAAAAGACGUGGGAACAUCCACAUGGUGAGGGAGGAAAUUGAAAAUGUCUGGGUUGGUUGGGGCCUCGAGUUAGUUGUUGAAAAUGAAAGGAUGUGAAGAGUGAUGAGCCCACGCCGACCGAGCGACAGGCUCGCCGCCCACGCCGCCCGACAGGCUCGCCGCUUAAUCAGAAGAACUCAGCAAAUUAAUAGUUACAUGUCUGAAUGGAAACAAGACAACUCCCAUCUCAGGCCUGGCCCAGGAGGAAGUGGAGCAAGAUGCCUCUUAAGGAAGCCAGCCCAGGAGUCCUGAAGAUGCUAUGCCAGAAACAUUGACAAAGAUGUGGUGUCAUCCUACAAUGUCAGAACUGAUUGCAUAACAAUAAAUUCAUGAGGUUUAAUAUGUUUAAUGACAGCAGUCUGUCAUAAAACCCAUCUGACUAGGCAGCCUAGCCAAGGAAAAUAUGGGUUCUUUUAUUCCCAUAUCAAAUACUAAUAUUAACUUCUCCACACACCCCCCAACAUACACACAAGACAGAGAAAAGGUAAAAAUAUAUAACUCACACUGGGUGUGAAUGUGGGGUCCCAGGCUGAACUUCUGCUGUGGGUGUUUGAUAAAAAGUCCUUCAAGGGGAUCUGGAAAGUCCAAGAAGAACGGACAAAGACGUGUAGCUUGAGAGGGGGUGUGCUGAUAGAGCUAUUUAUGGUGUCUUACUUGUGUUCACUCUGUCAGAAGGGCACAGUAGUCUUGAGUGAAGAAUGUGUAUGGGGCUAAGAACUUUGCUAAGUCCACACACUCACCCAGAGCAUCCCUUUGGAAUUGCUUUUAAAGAGUGCAACAAUCGAUCAAUACUUCCUUUCCUUUUCAACGAUCCAUAAGACACCUCACAGAAGAUAAGGCUGUGUCUCCUCUGCCUUUAGUUUCACCAGCUCUCUCUUCCCUCACCAUCUCCCUUUCUUUUCUUCUUUCUAAUGGAGUGGGUGGACCACAGGUCUAGUUACAAGUGACUGAUGUCUAGACUGCAGGCAGCCAACGCUGUCUACACAUGCUGGGAGCUAGUCACAAGCUGGUAAGGAUGUGCCCCUGACAGACUGGUGUUUGGCCAUCUGUGAACGAUAAAUCAGUAGCUCCAUACAAUGACCAAAGAGUAGAAGAUUAUUUCUUGCUAGAAUGAGGGUCUUUUGUACAGAAAUAAUAUGGUUUCCUUUAGCCUAAACUAUGCAUCUCUUGCUCAUAGUGGGUCUUGGUUAAGCUUGUUGAACGGAUGGACAUAUCCCAGUAUUAAUGUAGGAUAAAAAGUUUAAAACAUUAUGCUAAUUCCAGAUGGCAGAGAGAACUCUGGGAUGCCUUCUACCUCAGAGCCCAGGAGCUAAGCCAAAAUCACCAUGGGGUAUGUGUGCCAUCAUAAGAGCAGAUGGCAGACACACCUUUUCAAGAAUCAAAGUUGCUAUGAACAUAUGAGGCUAGGCUAGGUGUAGACACGAGUCACCUGAAUGUCGAACCAAGAAUCCCAAUAAAUGGCAUCUUUGUCAGCUCAAGUAUAGUUUCUUGUUUUGUGAGUCUUUUGGACCAGA
rnacentral:lncRNA from 1 species